ACGGGAGGCAGCAGUAGGGAAUCUUCCACAAUGGGCGCAAGCCUGAUGGAGCAACACCGCGUGAGUGAAGAAGGGUUUCGGCUCGUAAAGCUCUGUUGUUGGAGAAGAACGUGCGUGAGAGUAACUGUUCACGCAGUGACGGUAUCCAACCAGAAAGUCACGGCUAACUACGUGCCAGCAGCCGCGGUAAUACGUAGGUGGCAAGCGUUAUCCGGAUUUAUUGGGCGUAAAGCGAGCGCAGGCGGUUGCUUAGGUCUGAUGUGAAAGCCUUCGGCUUAACCGAAGAAGUGCAUCGGAAACCGGGCGACUUGAGUGCAGAAGAGGACAGUGGAACUCCAUGUGUAGCGGUGGAAUGCGUAGAUAUAUGGAAGAACACCAGUGGCGAAGGCGGCUGUCUGGUCUGCAACUGACGCUGAGGCUCGAAAGCAUGGGUAGCGAACAGGAUUAGAUACCCUGGUA
rnacentral:rRNA from 1 species